GGGAAGGUAGCUCAGUGGUAGAGCGCUUGUCUUGCAUGCAUGAGGCCCUGGGUUCGAUUCCCCAGCACCA
rnacentral:tRNA from 1 species